GGUGUUUUAGCUCAGUGGUAGAGUGCUCACCUAGCAUGUGUUAGGCAUUGAGUUCAAUCCUCAGCACCA
rnacentral:tRNA from 1 species